rnacentral:rRNA from 1 species
GAUGAACGCUAGCGGCAGGCUUAACACAUGCAAGUCGAGGGGUAUAGGCUUUCGGGCCUAGAGACCGGCGCACGGGUGCGUAACGCGUAUGCAAUCUGCCUUGUACAAAGGGAUAGCCCAGAGAAAUUUGGAUUAAUACCUUAUAGUAUAUAUUUAGGACAUCCUAUUUAUAUUAAAGAUUUAUCGGUACAAGAUGAGCA